UUGGAGGGCAAGUCUGGUGCCAGCAGCCGCGGUAAUUCCAGCUCCAAUAGCGUAUAUUAAAGUUGUUGCAGUUAAAAAGCUCGUAGUUGAAUUUCGGGAUCAGAUUGUUGGUCGUGCCUCGGUACGUACUGGCAUUAUUGGUUCCUACCUUCUGAAGAACCGCGAUGUCAUUAAUUUGGUGUCGUGGGGAAUCUGGACUGUUACUUUGAAAAAAUUAGAGUGUUUAAAGCAGGCGCACGCUUGAAUACAUUAGCAUGGAAUAAUGAAAUAGGACGUUUGAUUCUAUUUUGUUGGUUUCUAGGAUCGACGUAAUGAUUAAUAGGGAUAGUUGGGGGCAUUAGUAUUCAAUUGUCAGAGGUGAAAUUCUUGGAUUUAUUGAAGACUAACUACUGCGAAAGCAUUUGCCAAGGAUGUUUUCAUUAAUCAAGAACGAAAGUUAGGGGAUCGAAGACGAUCAGAUAUUGUCGUAGUCUUAACCAUAAACUAUGCCGACUAGGGAUCGGAUGAUGUUAAUUUUAUAAUGACUCAUUCGGCGCCUUACGGGAAAC
rnacentral:rRNA from 1 species